UCUUAAGCAUAUCAAUAAGCGGAGGAAAAGAAACCAACAGGGAUUGCCCUAGUAACGGCGAGUGAAGCGGCAACAGCUCAAAUUUGAAAUCUGGCUUUCGGGCCCGAGUUGUAAUUUGUAGAGGAUACUUUUGAUGCGGUGCCUUCCGAGUUCCCUGGAACGGGACGCCAUAGAGGGUGAGAGCCCCGUCUGGUUGGAUGCCAAAUCUCUGUAAAGUUCCUUCGACGAGUCGAGUAGUUUGGGAAUGCUGCUCUAAAUGGGAGGUAUAUGUCUUCUAAAGCUAAAUAUUGGCCAGAGACCGAUAGCGCACAAGUAGAGUGAUCGAAAGAUGAAAAGCACUUUGAAAAGAGAGUUAAAAAGUACGUGAAAUUGUUGAAAGGGAAGCGUUUAUGACCAGACUUGGACUUGGUUAAUCAUCUGGGGUUCUCCCCAGUGCACUUUUCCAGUUCAGGCCAGCAUCAGUUUUCGCCGGGGGAUAAAGGCAGCGGGAAUGUGGCUCUCUUCGGGGAGUGUUAUAGCCCGUUGUGUAAUACCCUGGUGGGGACUGAGGUUCGCGG
rnacentral:rRNA from 1 species